UGACGGGGGCCUCGCACAAGCGGUGGAUGCAUGUGGUUUAAUUUAGAUGCAACGCGAAGAACCUUACGUACUCUUGACAUCCUACGGAAUCCUGCAGAGAUGCGGGAGUGCCUUCGGGAACCGUGAGACAGGUGCUGCAUGGCUGUCGUCAGCUCGUGUUGUGAAAUGUUGGGUUAAGUCCCGCAACGAGCGCAACCCUUAUCCUUGUUUGCCAGCACUUCGGGUGGGAACUCCAGGGAGACUGCCGGUGAUAAACCGGAGGAAGGUGGGGACGACGUCAAGUCAUCAUGGCCCUUACGAGUAGGGCUACACACGUGCUACAAUGGCAUAUACAGAGGGCAGCAAGACCGCGAGGUGGAGCGAAUCCCACAAAGUAUGUCGUAGUCCGGAUUGGAGUCUGCAACUCGACUCCAUGAAGUCGGAAUCGCUAGUAAUCGUGGAUCAGAAUGCCACGGUGAAUACGUUCCCGGGCCUUGUACACACCGCCCGUCACACCAUGGGAGUAGGAGUGCUGCCCGAAGUACAGGGUAUGUCGUAACAGAGUAACCAUGCUAGAGUGUCG
rnacentral:rRNA from 1 species